rnacentral:rRNA from 1 species
UACGUAGGGGGCAAGCGUUAUCCGGAUUUACUGGGUGUAAAGGGAGCGUAGACGGCACGGCAAGCCUGAUGUGAAAGCCCGCGGCCCAACCGCGGGACUGCAUUGGGAACUACCGGGCUGGAGUGCCGGAGAGGUAGGCGGAAUUCCUAGUGUAGCGGUGAAAUGCGUAGAUAUUAGGAGGAACACCAGUGGCGAAGGCGGCCUACUGGACGGUGACUGACGCUGAGGCUCGAAAGCGUGGGGAGCAAACAGG